rnacentral:hammerhead_ribozyme from 1 species
AUACUCUUGAUGAGUCCCAGACUAGGACGAAACAGCCGUCCAGUAU